rnacentral:tRNA from 1 species
GGGGAUUUAGCUCAGCGGCAUAAGCGCCUGCCUUGCAAGCAGGUAGUUGUGAGUUUAAUCCCUG